rnacentral:rRNA from 1 species
UACGAAGGGGGCUAGCGUUGCUCGGAAUCACUGGGCGUAAAGGGUGCGUAGGCGGGUCUUUAAGUCAGGGGGGAAAUCCUGGAGCUCAACUCCAGAACUGCCUUUGAUACUGAAGAUCUUGAGUGCGGGAGAGGUGAGUGGAACUGCGAGUGUAGAGGUGAAAUUCGUAGAUAUUCGCAAGAACACCAGUGGCGAAGGCGGCUCACUGGCCCGAUACUGACGCUGAGGCACGAAAGCGUGGGGAGCAAACAGG